AGCGAACGCUGGCGGCAGGCCUAACACAUGCAAGUCGAACGAACCUUUCGGGGUUAGUGGCGGACGGGUGAGUAACACGUGGGAACGUGCCUUUAGGUUCGGAAUAACUCAGGGAGACUUGUGCUAAUACCGAAUGUGCCCUUCGGGGGAAAGAUUUAUCGCCUUUAGAGCGGCCCGCGUCUGAUUAGCUAGUUGGUUGAGGUAAUGGCUCACCAAGGCGACGAUCAGUAGCUGGUCUGAGAGGAUGAUCAGCCACAUUGGGACUGAGACACGGCCCAAACUCCUACGGGAGGCAGCAGUGGGGAAUCUUGCGCAAUGGGCGAAAGCCUGACGCAGCCAUGCCGCGUGAAUGAUGAAGGUCUUAGGAUUGUAAAAUUCUUUCACCGGGGACGAUAAUGACGGUACCCGGAGAAGAAGCCCCGGCUAACUUCGUG
rnacentral:rRNA from 1 species